GCGCCCGUAGCUCAAUUGGACAGAGUGCUUGGUUACGGCCCAAGAGGUUGCGGGUUCGACUCCUACCGGGCGCG
rnacentral:tRNA from 1 species